GGGAGGCUAGGGUGGGAGAGAGGGGGGGAGGCUAGGGUGGGAGAGAGGGGGGAGGCUAGGGUGGGAGAGAGGGGGAGGCUAGGGUGGGAGAGAGGGGGAGGCUAGGGUGGGAGAGAGGGGAGGCUAGGGUGGGAGAGAGGGGGAGGCUAGGGUGGGAGAGAGAGGGAGGCUAGGGUGGGAGAGAGGGGGAGGCUAGGGUGGGAGAGAGGGGGAGGCUAGGGUGGGAGAGAGAGGGAGGCUAGGGUGGGAGAGAGAGGGAGGCUAGGGUGGGAGAGAGGGGAGGCUAGGGUGGGAGAGAGGGGGAGGCUAGGGUGGGAGAGAGGGGAGGCUAGGGUGGGAGAGAGAGGAGGCUAGGGUGGGAGAGAGAGAGAGGCUGGGGUGUGAGAGAGAGAGGCUGGGGUGCUGGGGUGUGUGAGAGAGAGAGAGGAGGCUGGGGUGUGAGAGAGAGAGAGAGAGAGAGGAGGCUGGGGUGUGAGAAAGAGAGAGAGAGAGAGAGCUGGGGUGUGAGAGAGAGAGAGAGAGAGGAGGCUGGGGUGUGAGAGAGAGAGAGAGAGGAGGCUGGGGUGUGAGAGAGAGAGAGAGAGAGGAGGCUGGGGUGUGAGAGAGAGAGAGAGAGAGGAGGCUGGGGUGUGAGAGAGAGAGAGAGGAGGCUGGGGCUGGGGUGUGAGAGAGAGAGAGAGAGAGAGGAGGCUGGGGUGUGAGAGAGAGAGAGAGAGAGAGAGGAGGCUGGGGUGUGAGAGAGAGAGAGAG
ensembl:lncRNA